rnacentral:sRNA from 1 species
GUCGUUUUCACGGCAUAGGCAGUAGGU